GCGACCUCAGAUCAGACGAGACGACCCGCUGAACUUAAGCAUAUCACUAAGCGGAGGAAAAGAAACUAACCAGGAUUCCCUCAGUAGCGGCGAGUGAAGAGGGAAGAGC
rnacentral:rRNA from 1 species